rnacentral:rRNA from 1 species
GACGAACGCUGGCGGCGUGCCUAAUACAUGCAAGUCGAACGCAGUGGGGACGGGUGAGUAACACGUGGGUAACCUCCCAUCAGAGGGGAUAACACUUGGAAACAGGUGCUAAUCCGAUACUGAUGGAUGACCCCUCGGUGCAUUAGCUAGUUGGUGAGGUAACGGCUCACCAAGUCCACGAUGCAUAGCCGACCAGAGAGGGUGAUAGGCCACACUGGAAAUGAGACACGGACCAGACGCCUACGAGAGGCAGCAGUAGGGAAUCUUCGGCAAUGGACGAAAGUCGGACCGAGCAACGCCGCGUGAAUGAAGAAGGUUUUGGGAUCGUAAAACUCUGUUGUUAGAGAAGCGGUAUCUAACCAGAAAGCAACGGCUAAGUACGUGCCAGCAGCCGCGGUAAGAC